rnacentral:lncRNA from 1 species
AUUUUAUUGAGACAUUUCGGAUAAUGUUGAUCAAAAUGACCAAUUGAGACUAGAAUUCAUUUACUACUGAUAAAACAUAAUCAUUGAAUGCCCCACGAUUACGAUUUUUAUUAGUCAAUAUAAAGUAUGGAUUUUUAUGAAUUAAAGAUGUUAAGGAUUAACAUUAGCAGACAGUAAACCUCAUUGUAUCUCUAACAUUUGCCGAGUACAUAAAAUUAAAAAUAAAAACCUGCAAGAUCAACAAGAUUUCCAAUGCAUUAAACAGUAAAAAACAUGACAUAUUAUAUUUUGCAAUUCCGGAACGAUUAAUAACUUGAUACAACGAUUUGUAUAAUGUAGGAUUCUUCCUUCAAUGACUUUACAAACUGUGAAUAAUGCCCACUACAUAUAUUAUAUAUACAGGUAUAGAUUGCAUCCAAAAUAUCAAAAUCGUGAUUAAACAGGAAUUGUAUCAUAAGUCAGAUAAAAACAGAAAAACCCAUGAUAGAAAAACUAUCGAAAAUACAAAUAUUAAACUGUAAAACACUACAAAGAAAGCUAAAGCCCACACAACAUGAAGCCAACCAAAAAUGUGGAAGACAUAGCUAUGAAUGUUAAUUUGAAAGUUAACAAAGGGGUAUACUUUUUGAACCGUACAUUUGAAAACCAUCCAAAUCGACUCUGAACUGUAUAAUAUAAUCCAAUGUAUUGUGUUAAAGUUAAAAAAUGUAUAGUCAAGCGAUAUUUUGACAAUCAUCCACAAACUAAAAGAGCGACAGACGGAUAAGCAAACGUAUUAACGAACGGAAGGAGAUCUGCAUCACUCUAUACAGUUACUACUAGAGUCUGGAAAAUACAAAUAAGCCAAUAAUAUCAAAAAGGAAAGUAAACCUUUUUUAAUAUCAAAGGUUUUAAAACCCCGGGAAUAGAUCGCCUUAGUUGCAUUUGGCAGCAAGAUUUGUAAUUGCUCUCCAACUUCGUAUUGUAUUUAGCCUUUUUUCAAUUCAAUAAUACUGAUCAAUCUUUUCUUUAGGUUCUUUUAUUUCAGUUUAUUGAUAUGUUAGAAACUUUCCUUUUUGACAUUUUCAUAUUUCGUUUGUUGAUUCUCUGACAAUAAUGGGCUGCCUCCAUCAAUAUAGUUCUGUCAGGUCAAUAUUGUCUUGAAUCAAACGCAUACAGAAGCCAUAAUAGAUUAUUUCAUGUUACCGACCUUUGAGUCUGGAUUAUAUACAUUUUCGACAGGUUGCAUUUUCUGUGAUUGACAUUCUGGUACUCGGUUGAGUAUGAACAAUUAAAAUAAGUUACAUUAAACUUUCAGCGUAAUUUUAGGGGGCAGCGGAUUGUACUGUUUUCCGAUAAAUUUGUCUCAUAAAGAAAUUAUAAAGCUGUUAAUUUCCCCUAAAAGUUGUACUGAUUGACGGUUGAUGUUUGCUUCUUUGUGUUGCUCUUACUUUAUUUGGUACCAGGAUGUCCUAGCAAAGAGUAGGUAACUUGUCAAAAUAUAUGAAUUCGGAGUCAAAAGACCG